rnacentral:rRNA from 1 species
CAGCGACGCCGCGUGGGGGAUGACGGCCUUCGGGUUGUAGACCUCUUUCGACCCCGGCGAAGGGUGACUGACGGUAGGGGUAGAAGAAGCACCGGCCAACUACGUGCCAGCAGCCGCGGUAACACGUAGGGUGCGAGCGUUGCCCGGAAUUAUUGGGCGUAAAGAGCUCGUAGGCGGUGUGUCGCGUCGGCCGUGAAAACCUGCAGCUUAACUGUGGGCUUGCGGUCGAUACGGGCAUCACUGGAGUUCGGCAGGGGAGACUGGAAUUCCUGGUGUAGCGGUGAAAUGCGCAGAUAUCAGGAGGAACACCGGUGGCGAAGGCGGGUCUCUGGGCCGAUACCGACGCUGAGGAGCGAAAGCGUGGGGAGCGAACAGGAUUAGAUACCCUGGUAGUCCACGCCGUAAACGUUGGGCGCUAGGUGUGGGGACCAUUCCACGGUUUCUGUGCCGUAGCUAACGCAUUAAGCGCCCCGCCUGGGGAGUACGGCCGCAAG